rnacentral:rRNA from 1 species
UACGGAAGGGGCAAGCGUUAUUCGGAAUUAUUGGGCGUAAAGGGCGCGUAGGCGGCUUGGCAAGUGGAUGGUGAAAUCCCUCGGCUUAACCGAGGAACGGCCGUCCAAACUGCUUCGCUUGAGACCGGGAGAGGUGAGUGGAAUUCCCAGUGUAGCGGUGAAAUGCGUAGAUAUUGGGAGGAACACCAGUGGCGAAGGCGGCUCACUGGACCGGUACUGACGCUGAAGCGCGAAAGCGUGGGGAGCAAACGGG